rnacentral:rRNA from 1 species
GCACGGGUGAGUAACACGUGACUAACCUACCCUGGAGUGGGGGAUAACUGAGGGAAACCUUAGCUAAUACCGCAUAAUACCUAUGGGUCAAAGGAGCAAUUCGCUUUGGGAGGGGGUCGCGGCGAUUAGUUAGUUGGCGGGGUAAUGGCCCACCAAGACUGUGAUCGGUAUCCGACCUGAGAGGGCGCACGGACACACUGGAACUGAAACACGGUCCAGACUCCUACGGGAGGCAGCAGUGGGGAAUUUUGCGCAAUGGGGGAAACCCUGACGCAGCAACGCCGCGUGGAGGAUGAAGUCCUUCGGGACGUAAACUCCUUUCGAUCGGGACGAUAAUGACGGUACCGGAAGAAGAAGCCCCGGCUAACUUCGUGCCAGCAGCCGCGGUAAUACGAGGGGGGCGAGCGUUGUUCGGAAUUAUUGGGCGUAAAGGGUGCGUAGGCGGUUUUGUAAGUCUUAUGUGAAAUCUAUGGGCUCAACUCAUAGACUGCAUGAGAAACUGCAGGGCUUGAGUGUGGGAGAGGUGAGUGGAAUUUCCGGUGUAGCGGUGAAAUGCGUAGAUAUCGGAAGGAACACCUGU